CACAGCUGCUCUAGAUUAACACAGGCUAAAGCCGCUUGAUGUAGCCUUGAACUGCCAUAAUCAAAGUUGUGGGCUGCUCCAAAUUCUUACCCAGAGUCUGGAGCAAACGGCACCUUUUGGGCCAUGUAAACCACUGGGAUGGUUCUGGGAUGGAACUGGUUGCAAUUGUUUGCAUGGCCAUCCUGUGUUGCCCAGGCUGUGACAAGAAGAACAAAGGGGAAGGAGACGUCAAUAUGCUGCUAUGGCUCAAUGCAAUGGAAACCUGGGAUUUGAAAUUUGAUGCAACACCCACAGUUGAAGCAGUUUCAAAUGGCAUUCAUUCUACAGUAGAUGCAUCCUCUGUCUUCAAACAUCUUGCCACACUUUCUACUUUCUCCUAGGGAUUGAAAUAAUUAUUCUUUUUUUAUUUGGCUUUGGUUAGACCUCACCUGAAACAUUGGGCCCAUUCUGGGCACCACAGUUCAAGAAGGAUUUGAGAAAGCUAGAAAGGGGCAAGCAAAAUGAUCAAAGAUUUGGAAGCUGAGCCCUAUAAGGAGCUGGGGAUAUUUAGCUUGGAGAAGAGAAGAUUGGGGGGACACAAUAGCAAUGUUUAAAUAUUUGAAAGGAUGUCACAUUGAGUAGGGGGCUUGUUUUCUGUUGCCCUGGAAAAUAAAACAUGGAGCAGUGGUUUCAAAUUCUAGAAAAAGCGAUUCCAUUGGCAGUAGGAUAUUCUGCCUUGAAGUUUUGUAGAGUCCCCUUCUUUGGAGCUUAUUAAGCAGAGGCUGGAUAGCUAUUUAUUGGGGUGCUUUGGUUAUAUUUCCCUACAUGGAAAAUGGGGUUGGACUUGAUGACUCUUGCAUGAUCUUCCACCUGUAUGAUUCUAUUAUUCUAUGAAUAGCUGUCAUUGUUAAUUACCAGUGAUUUUUUAAAUCGUGUCAGAAGUGACUUGAGAACAUACU
rnacentral:lncRNA from 11 species